UUGAGAUGGUACAUGUUUUCACACUAAGAGUUGCUUUUGCCCCUGUCUUCAUAGGUUAUCAGCGUCAGCUGCUCUACAAGCAUGAUGAUGGCUCCUACAGUGCCUUUGGGAAGUCUGACACCCAGGGCAACACAUGGCUGACAGCUUUUGUGGCCAGGUCCUUUGGGCAGGCCAGCUCUUACAUUUACAUCA